AGAGUUUGAUCAUGGCUCAGAUUGAACGCUGGCGGCAUGCUUUACACAUGCAAGUCGAACGGUAACGCGGGGGCAACCCUGGCGACGAGUGGCGAACGGGUGAGUAAUACAUCGGAACAUGUCCUGGAGUGGGGGAUAGCUCGGCGAAAGCCGGAUUAAUACCGCAUACGCUCUGAGGAGGAAAGCGGGGGACCUGGUAACGGGCCUCGCGCUGCAGGAGUGGCCGAUGUCGGAUUAGCUAGUUGGUGAGGUAAAGGCUCACCAAGGCGACGAUCCGUAGCUGGUCUGAGAGGAUGAUCAGCCACACUGGGACUGAGACACGGCCCAGACUCCUACGGGAGGCAGCAGUGGGGAAUUUUGGACAAUGGGGGCAACCCUGAUCCAGCCAUGCCGCGUGAGUGAAGAAGGCCUUCGGGUUGUAAAGCUCUUUCGGACGGAACGAAACGGUUAGCGUGAAUAUCGCUGACUAAUGACGGUACCG
rnacentral:rRNA from 1 species